rnacentral:rRNA from 1 species
UACGGAGGGUGCAAGCGUUAUCCGGAUUCACUGGGUUUAAAGGGUGCGUAGGUGGGUUGGUAAGUCAGUGGUGAAAUCUCCAGGCUUAACUUGGAAACUGCCAUUGAUACUAUCAAUCUUGAAUACCGUGGAGAUGAGCGGAAUAUGUCAUGUAGCGGUGAAAUGCUUAGAUAUGACAUAGGACACCAAUUGCGAAGGCAGCUCGUUACACGAAUAUUGACACUGAUGCACGAAAGCGUGGGGAUCAAACAGG